rnacentral:other from 1 species
AUCUCCCUGCCCUGUGCGCGGACCGUUCUUUUAUAACCCUACUACAUUUUUUGUACGGGAGCCUUUCUCCGAAAGCCGAUUGCAGACCUCCCCACCUCGGUGGGACGAAGGGAGCGUGAAUCUUUUGGGCGGCAACCCACCUGUUUACGAUAGUAGCAGGUUACACCAAGGAACAUUACGGCAGAGUGGGGAUGUA